UUCGGGUGGCCGGCGAGUGGCGAACGGGUGCGUAACGCGUGGAUACCUACCCUGAGGCGGGGGACAACAGUUGGAAACGACUGCUAAUACCGCAUAAGCCCUAAGGGGGAAAGGCUUCGGCCACCUUGGGACGGGUCCGCGUCGGAUUAGCUUGUUGGUGAGGUAAAGGCUCACCAAGGCGAUGAUCCGUAGCUGGUCUGAGAGGAUGAUCAGCCACACUGGGACUGAGACACGGCCCAGACUCCUACGGGAGGCAGCAGUGGGGAAUAUUGCGCAAUGGGGGCAACCCUGACGCAGCGAUACCGCGUGGGUGAAGAAGGUCUUCGGAUUGUAAGGCCCUUUCAGUGGGGAAAAUUGUGACGGUACCCACAGAAGAAGCUCCGGCUAACUCCGUGCCAGCAGCCGCGGUAAUACGGAGGGGGCGAGCGUUGUUCGGAAUUACUGGGCGUAAAGGGCGCGUAGGCGGCCUGUCAAG
rnacentral:rRNA from 1 species